rnacentral:misc_RNA from 1 species
GAUGAAGAACGCAGCGAACGUGCGAAACGUAAUGUGAAUUGCAGAAUUCAGUGAAUCAUCGAAUCUUUGAACGCAUCUUGCGCUCCUUGGUAUUCCGAGGAGCAUGCCUGUUUGAGUGUCGUGAAUACUCUCAACUUCAACCCUUUUUUCGGAAAGGGAGGAAGGUUGGACUUGGGUGUUUGUUGAAGUGCGAGCUUCGACUCAUCCUAAAUGCAUUAGCGAUCUGCCUCGAUCACACACAAUGUGAUAAUUAAAACUAAAGCAUUGUUUAAUGAUCAAGUCGAGACUGCUUCUAACUGUCGCAAGACAAUAACGCGCAUACAUUUGUGCAUGUCAUUUGACCUCAAAUCAGGUAGGACUACCCGCUGAACUUAAGCAUAUCAAUAAGCGGAGGA